rnacentral:rRNA from 1 species
CAGCAGCCGCGGGAAUACGGAGGGAGCUAGCGUUGUUCGGAAUUACUGGGCGUAAAGCGUGCGUAGGUGGUGGUUUAAGUCCGUUGUGAAAGCCCUGGACUCAACCUGGGAAUUGCAGUGGAUACUGGGUCACUAGAGUGUGGUAGAGGAUAGUGGAAUUUCCGGUGUAGCAGUGAAAUGCGUAGAGAUCGGAAGGAACAUCUGUGGCGAAGGCGACUAUCUGGGCCAACACUGACACUGAGGCACGAAAGCGUGGGGAGCAAACAGGAUUAGAUACCCGCGUAGUCCCUGUCUCUUAUAC